rnacentral:rRNA from 1 species
UACGUAGGGUGCGAGCGUUGUCCGGAAUUACUGGGCGUAAAGAGCUCGUAGGUGGUUUGUCGCGUUGUUCGUGAAAACUCACAGCUCAACUGUGGGCGUGCGGGCGAUACGGGCAGACUGGAGUACUGCAGGGGAGACUGGAAUUCCUGGUGUAGCGGUGAAAUGCGCAGAUAUCAGGAGGAACACCGGUGGCGAAGGCGGAUCUCUGGGCCGAAACUGACGCUGAGGAGCGAAAGCGUGGGGAGCAAACAGG